UACGAAGGGGGCUAGCGUUGCUCGGAAUCACUGGGCGUAAAGGGUGCGUAGGCGGGUCUUUAAGUCCGGGGUGAAAUCCUGGAGCUCAACUCCAGAACUGCCUUUGAUACUGAAGAUCUUGAGUUCGGGAGAGGUGAGUGGAACUGCGAGUGUAGAGGUGAAAUUCGUAGAUAUCUGGAGGAACACCGGUGGCGAAGGCGGCAUCCUGGACCGGUAUUGACGCUGAGGCGCGAAAGCCAGGGGAGCAAACGGG
rnacentral:rRNA from 1 species